UACGUAGGGUGCGAGCGUUAAUCGGAAUUACUGGGCGUAAAGCGUGCGCAGGCGGCUUUGCAAGACAGAUGUGAAAUCCCCGGGCUCAACCUGGGAACUGCAUUUGUGACUGCAAAGCUAGAGUACGGCAGAGGGGGAUGGAAUUCCGCGUGUAGCAGUGAAAUGCGUAGAUAUGCGGAGGAACACCAAUGGCGAAGGCAAUCCCCUGGGCCUGUACUGACGCUCAUGCACGAAAGCGUGGGGAGCAAACAGG
rnacentral:rRNA from 1 species